rnacentral:rRNA from 1 species
GACGAACGCUGGCGGCAGGCUUAACACAUGCAAGUCGAACGCCCCGCAAGGGGAGUGGCAGACGGGUGAGUAACGCGUGGGAACAUACCCUUUCCUGCGGAAUAGCUCCGGGAAACUGGAAUUAAUACCGCAUACGCCCUACGGGGGAAAGAUUUAUCGGGGAAGGAUUGGCCCGCGUUGGAUUAGCUAGUUGGUGGGGUAAAGGCCUACCAAGGCGACGAUCCAUAGCUGGUCUGAGAGGAUGAUCAGCCACAUUGGGACUGAGACACGGCCCAAACUCCUACGGGAGGCAGCAGUGGGGAAUAUUGGACAAUGGGCGCAAGCCUGAUCCAGCCAUGCCGCGUGAGUGAUGAAGGCCUUAGGGUUGUAAAGCUCUUUCACCGAUGAAGAUAAUGACGGUAGUCGGAGAAGAAGCCCCCGGCUAACUUCGUGCCAGCAGCCGCGUAAUACGAAGGGGGCUACUGUUCGGAAUUACUGGGCGUAAANCGCACGUAGGCGGANAUUUAAGUCGAGGGGUGAAAUCCCGCAGCUCAACUGCGGAACUGCCUUUGAUACUGGGUA